AUGAAGGUUGUGUUGCCUGGUGCCGCCCCACGUGUUUCCAGAGAGGUAACAAUGUUUGAGGGUCUUGUCUUUGAGGACAUGGCCAAUAUGGAUUAUUGUCAGCUGAUGGUUGAUGAGCUUAGAAGGGCUGUUGUCAGGUACCAAGAUGGUGUUACGAUGGGGAAGGCAAUCACAGGCUGUGCUAUAGGGCCUGUACUAAUGUACCUUGACUGCCUUAUCUGUGGCAAGACUGUGGAGCCUGACAUGCGAGUCCCUCGCAUAUGUUUCAUGGAUCCUGUCAAGCUUUCUGAUCUGGUUGAUGCGUAUUUGAUAAAAAAGGCAAUGCAGAUCCAAAGACUUGGGUGUUUGGGAAGCUUCCAUAAUGCUAGUACUUCACAGAGGUAG
rnacentral:rRNA from 1 species